AAAUGACCUCUUUACGCGACAACUAAUUAAAACAGCAAAGAUACCCGCUUUCAUCCUUAAAAUGCAUGCAAAAAUAGGAUAAAUGAAUAAGCGAACUUUUUUAAAAAGAUGAUAAACAGAAGCAAAUAAUACAGUUGUUGAAGUGUAUACUUGCAUAAUUGCACAAAUCUAAUUUCAUGUUAACCAGAGACUUUAACCAAUAGAGCAUUUGCAGUGUACCAUGACAUUAAUCAUGUUAAAUAAAGGAAAGGGAUAAAAUUUAAUUGACUUUAGAAUCUUAAGAUGCUAAAG
rnacentral:misc_RNA from 1 species